AUUUUUGACUCUGUGAACUUGAAGUGGGUAAGGUGACUUCUUGGAGCCAGUACUGGGUUUUGUCUAUAUCUUAACUGUAUUGGAUCAUCUCGGCAGAGAAGAAUAAAAUACAGGGCUGAAGUUAUCGUAGCGGAUUUUGACAUUGAUUGGAUGUACUGGAUCAUCUCUGCUGCUCAGAAGAAACAAAGUGCUAGUCUAGUAGUGCGGGUGUAUUAUAAAAGUUUGUGAAAAAGUGGUGUCUGUAGAUGUUUAGGAAACUGUACUGGAUCAUCUUGACUCGGAAAACUUAAAUACAGGGUUGCAGAUUUUGACAUGGAUUGGAGGAUGAUGUACUGGAUCAUCAAUGCUGCUCAGAAGAAACAAACUGCUUGUCUAUGCAGUGCGGGUGUAUUACAAAUGUUUGUAGAAAAGUGGUGUCUGUAGAUAUUUAGGUGAGCAUACCAUGAAAAGCCUUCCCAUUUCCCUAAGUGUUUUUGUCUUUUUUUACUAGGAUGCCUCUAAUGGGCAAGUAGACAUAAUCUUUGAGAAAUAAUUAUCUAUUUUAAGGGAACAGAUUCUAAGAUAUAACAUAUAAUGAACCUUAGGAAAGAAAAUAUUGAUAAUGUAUGUGAAUAUGAUUUCCUAAAGUUAAUAGGAUUCCCUUUUGUUUAGUUCUUGUUAACUACAAGUCUCUCUCAAUAUUACACGAGAAAUAGUGAAUGUUUGGAACCUAGAUUAAGAGCAUAAUGACAUUCCUUUCAAAAAAAAACUACCCUAAACAGUUUUCCCAACCAUUUGUAAUUCUUUUGUUCCGAUAGUAGUUCCUUGUUAUUAUAAGUUUUGGUGAAGUAGUGUAUGGGAGUCUGCUGGUCUGGAAUUAAAAGUGCAGAGAUUAUAUUAUUAACAUUUGACUGUCAUUUUUGACAACGUGAAUGUGUUAGCGUUAUGAAACUUGGAUUAAAAUUGCUAUUAGAAAAUCUGUCGAAACCUAGAUAAUCCUCCUAUUUCGCUUUGUUUCAAAUAAGGGAGGCGACGGAUAACGGUGACAAGUGUUUUAUUAUUUUCGAAAUUACCACCAUUCUAAAUUGUCAUACUGUUAUAAAUUUCAUUCUGUUUGUCCGAAAGUAUUA